rnacentral:lncRNA from 1 species
CACUAAGCAGGGGACACAGGAAGUAGUUUCUCUUUUCUUCCACCUUGCCUCUGACACCUCAGGGCAGUGAAGGCUUUGAUAUGCGUGAGGAGGCAUCGGGUCAGCAGAUGGAGGAGUCCAGGCCCUGUUCUAGGCAAGAUAAGUACUCUGAGUGAAGUUUGAGGGAACCACCCACCACAGAUUGGAGGGACUCCCACAGAGUCCAACCCCUGAUUUCAGCCCUGUUAGAUCCCAGACAGGGAUCAUUUGAUUUAGUACCUUCUGAAUUCCCUCAGUGAGGACUCUGGGAGCUGAGAGUCAGCAGAUGGAGGCGUCCAGGCUCUGCCACACGUUAAGGUGACCCUUUUUUGAAGUGAGGAGGUCAUUGGACACUUUCUUGAAGGAGACAGCAUUGUGGAACAUUAAAUAGAUGUCACUAGUCAUCACCUCUAAAUUGUUGGCCUGAUCUUGGGUGUUCUAAGUUGACCCUUAGACAACUUGGGUUUGAACUGCAUGGAUCUACUUAUACAUGGAUUUUCUUCUGCCUCUGCCACCCAUGAAACAGCAAGACCAACCGUUCCUUUUCCAUUUUUCUCCUCAGCCUACUCAACACAAAGAAGAUGAAUAUGAAGACCUUUGUGAUGAUCCACUUCACUUAAUGAAUAGUUGUAGGCAAAGCCAGCUGCCAUUUCAUAAGAACACUCAGGCAACACUAUGGAGCUGUUCAUUGGCAAGGAAAUUAGUUCUCCUGCCGUAACCAGCAAGGAACUGAAGCUCUUGCUAACAGCUAUGUGAAUUAGUUAUUUUGGAAGCAGAUCCUCCAACUCCAGUCAAGCCAGCUGACAUACAGCACUAGCUGACAUCAUGAUUGCAACCAUGUGAGAAGAUUCGGGUCAGAGCCACCCAGAUGCUGAAACCUGAAGUCAGCAGGGAAGUCAGGAAGAGGAGAUGAUGCAAAGCAGAGGAAGCAAGGAUAAAUGGAAUCCAUGAGGACUAUCUGGAGCUCUCAAGGACUGACUGGGACCCAUGUUGAUCUUCCACUGCCUCCAAACCUCCAAUUUCAAUGACAUCAAUGCCCUGAAAAAAAAAAGUGGGCGUUCUUUUUUAUGGAGCUGGUGAAGAAGGAGGAAGAUAUGAGGGAGAACUGGAGCAAUUGUGGGCCCAACUGCUGCCUCACACCAAGGAUGACAAAACAUCCAAGUUAUUAAAGAUUGUAAGUUUCUGACUAUCCAUUUACAAGACAGUCAUGUUUAUUGCUCCUAAACAACAAAGUACUCAGCACAGGAUAGCAGAGAACCCUGAAGGAAGAGGUGCCAGGAGAGAUGAAAGGAAAUAUCAUGGGAAUGGAGUGCUGUUCAGCCUGCGGAAUGUCUGGAAUAUCUGAGAAGCAGCAGGACAACAGUCGAUGCCUCUAGGUAGAUGUGCCUUCUGACAAAGCGAAGAUGGUGGGAAUAAAAGUCAAUUGAAUAUCUACCAGACAAGAUAGAAUUUGCAUAUCCAUCAGUUACAAAGAGGGAAGAAGUAGCUCAAAGACAAUGAAAAGGACCAAAAUCUGAUAAUCCAUAAAGAUCUAUAGUGAGAAGCUGAACCAUAACUGAAACACUGCUAAGGAAGCAUGGGAUGAUGAGAGAAGACACAUUCAUCUUAGGAUGUAUUCGUUAACCAUAAGAUUUGGAACAUUACCACUACCCA